AUUGAACGCUGGCGGCAGGCCUAACACAUGCAAGUCGAACGGUAACAGGGAUCAGCUUGCUGAUUCGCUGAUGAGUGGCGGACGGGUGAGUAAUGUCUGGGAAACUGCCUGAUGGAGGGGGAUAACUACUGGAAACGGUAGCUAAUACCGCAUAACGUCGCAAGACCAAAGAGGGGGACCUUCGGGCCUCUUGCCAUCGGAUGUGCCCAGAUGGGAUUAGCUAGUAGGUGGGGUAACGGCUCACCUAGGCGACGAUCCCUAGCUGGUCUGAGAGGAUGACCAGCCACACUGGAACUGAGACACGGUCCAGACUCCUACGGGAGGCAGCAGUGGGGAAUAUUGCACAAUGGGCGCAAGCCUGAUGCAGCCAUGCCGCGUGUAUGAAGAAGGCCUUCGGGUUGUAAAGUACUUUCAGCGGGGAGGAAGGGAGUAAAGUUAAUACCUUUGCUCAUUGACGUUACCCGCAGAAGAAGCACCGGCUAACUCCGUG
rnacentral:rRNA from 1 species